UACAGAGGUCUCAAGCGUUGUUCGGAUUCAUUGGGCGUAAAGGGCUCGUAGGCGGGAUGGCAAGUCGGUCGUGAAAUCCUUCGGCUCAACCGAAGAACGUCGGCCGAUACUGGCGUUCUUGAGGGAUGCAGAGGAGAUUGGAAUUCCCGGUGUAGCGGUGAAAUGUGUAGAGAUCGGGAGGAACACCGGUGGCGAAGGCGGGUCGCUGGGCAUCUC
rnacentral:rRNA from 1 species